AAACAUUUUUUGGUUAUACACGUGAAAGGUCGAAUUCUGAGUUAGUGUUUUAGGUUUACUGAAAAUUGACAGAUGUCAAUAUUUAGAAAUAAAUAAAGUACAGCGAUUUACGUUAGCAAGGUGACAGCAGACUACGAGGUGAUCCUAACCACCUUGUCGGAGACCUCGUUACCUGAUGCAUGGCCAAGAUGCAUGGUGAUACCCGUGGGCUGCCAGAGCUCUCGCCGUCCGCCGUCUUUUCCACUUCUUCAAUGGCAUUUCUUCCAAACUAAAGCUCUGCGCACAAAGAGAUCCUUGGAACAAAAUAAAAGAAACGUCUUUUUAGAAUUGUUGCCCAGCUUAAGUCUGCAUGUAUUGGAGUACUGCUGGAAUAAAUUUUGUCAACUUUGAAAGUUUCAUUCUUAGUAAUUGUACCAGAAAGUAACUAUUGACGGAGUGUUCGUUUUCUUUGUACAAGAACAAUGAUCGUUUCAAACCCUAAAAAACCGCUGUGUAAGCGCAACAGAUGUGUGGGAAACCACGGGACGAUGACAUGGUUCUGGACGUUAGCGUUCUUUUUACCGACGACACUAGGGAUGACGCCGCACUUCAGCACGAUAGAAUACGAUGAACACUUUAAGGAAUUCAGUUGUGGGGAACUGUACUAUGAAACUUUCUACCUGGACCCCAAAAGAGAUAUCUUGUACGUUGGAGCAAUGUAAGUAAACUAUUUCAUUAUCAGUGUUAAUAACCAUUUCAUUAUCA